rnacentral:lncRNA from 1 species
AUGGAAGGGUACCUACUGUAUAAAAGUGAGUUCAUGUUCAAAUUAAAUACUUGUAUUUCCUGUUGCCAUUUUGACUGUGUAUUCCUCUGUAGUAUAAAGUGUAUGCAGUGCCCGCGGAGGAGUUCUCCAUGGAGUACCUGGACCCCAAGGUGCUCUGCGUCUCUGUCCACGGACGCUUCACUGAGGACAGUCAGUACUGUGUUCCCAGCCAGUACGACAGGCCCUCCACAGCGCUGGUUCUGGACGCAGCGCGGGACGCACGCCCCUCCUCCCCACUUGCCGUCCCCCAGCAGAGGGAGAGUGAAGAGUGGAGACGAAGACGACAGUCAGGGGCUGGGGGCUUCCCUUUCCCUGGAGCCCAGAGUGAAGGGGUACUACUCAAAUCUCCCCAGGUACAUGCAUGGAGCUGGGCCUGUAUAAUUUAUUUUACCUUUAUUUAACUAGGCAAGUCAGUUAAGAACAAAUUCUUACAAAUUCUUAUUUUCAAUGACGGCCUAGUGGGUUAACUGCCUGUUCAGGGGCAGAACAACAGAUUUGUACCUUGUCAGCUCGGGGAUAUGUACUUGCAACCUUUCGGUUACUAGUCCAACGCUCUAACCACUAGGCUACCUGCCGCCCCAACAAAGCUGCUGCUACUGCUGCUGCUUGGAGUGGGACCAAGCACUGGAAAGCAUGUGGGGCUUGAGAUAUGAAGCCCACAGCUUCACUAACAUUAAUGGCAGUAACAUCCCUACAGGGUUACAGUAUAUAGUUAAUGAGCAGGUUUUUAAGUGGUACGAAGCACAUUUCUGUGGAAACGGACAACAAAAUCGAAUUUAAUCUUAUUUCUGUGGCGUUUACACGUUUCUCCACAUGUUGUGUUCCUUCUCUGUUCCUCUAUUCCUCCAGACAGAGAUCCGUUUCAGUGCCAGGGUGCCAGUUCCUGGCAGGUAUGUGUUUGUGGUCCACUACUGUCAAGCUGAACACACCACCUUCCCUGUGGAGGUACGGGUGGAUGCCGGACACACGUGGGCAGGUGAGUUUAGUGCGAAAUGUAGUUGUGUGAAGCCGUUGAUCCAGAUUGAUAUGGUUGGAUAGAGAGUGUAUAUGAUCCAGGAUCUUACUGACCCCGACAUCGUCCUAGAUGUAAUGAAAUGGAUGUCUACUCAAAGAAUGAAUGCGAUUAUCAAUUGUCAUGAACAUACAGUAGCAGCU